UACGGAGGGGGCUAGCGUUGUUCGGAAUUACUAGGCGUAAAGGGCAGGUAGGUGGUUUGGUAAGUCUAUUGUGAAAGCUCCCGGCUUAACUGGGAGAGGCCAAUGGAUACUGCCAAGCUUGAGUAUAGGAGAGGUUACUGGAAUUCCCGGUGUAGCGGUGAAAUGCGCAGAUAUCGGGAGGAACACCAAUGGCGAAAGCAGGUAACUGGACUAUUACUGACACUCAACUGCGAAAGCUAGGGGAGCAAACAGG
rnacentral:rRNA from 1 species